rnacentral:pre_miRNA from 1 species
GCUGGGAAGAGAAGGAAAUGGGUAUCCAAGAGCGGUUGGCAUGGGAACAUGGAGGAAAGCCCAACACAGCCUCUCCUCUAAAUUCAGGGGUUGAGACGUGUUUCGAUGCUUUCGGCUUUCCCGGUGCCUCUCAUGCCUAUCGUUCUUCGGUGCUCUUUCCUCCUCCUCCAUGCU